UAUGAACUUGAAACGGAUAACGGCAGGCGCCGGGCGUUUUAAGGGCAGCACGAACAAGCCCGUUCUGGGCAAAAGGCAACCUAUCAGGCAGGGGCCUUGCGGUUUUCAGGAUGAACUCGGGACACCUCCAGGAAGGAGAUCGAGAGCCGAUAAAGGAAUAUUGGCGGGCCAUGAAAGGCUAUAAGGAACCACGCUGGGAAGGCGUUCAGGGAUUUGCACGGAUGUUGGGCCAGGAUGGCCAUAGGGAAAAGUUUUCAGGGAUUGAGCAGGGAGCACACUUUGUAGCUGGAUGGCUAUAAAACGAACUGGGGGCACUGUUAACGCAGUGCCCCUAUUUUUUUAC
rnacentral:other from 1 species